rnacentral:rRNA from 1 species
UCCUACGGGGGGCAGCAGUGGGGAAUAUUGCACAAUGGGGGAAACCCUGAUGCGGCAACGCCGCGUGAGUGAAGAAGUCAUUCGUGAUGUAAAGCUCUAUCAGCAGGGAAGAAAAUGACGGUACCUGAGUAAGAAGCCCCGGCUAACUACGUGCCAGCAGCCGCGGUAAUACGUAGGGGGCAAGCGUUAUCCGGAUUUACUGGGUGUAAAGGGAGCGUAGACGGCCAGACAAGUCUGAAGUGAAAAUCC